CCUCUUUGGAUGGCUAGGCCCAGCUAACUUAUCUGACCUUGUACUGAAACCUAAGUGGGUGUAUUUCUUGUGUCACUGAGGUGUGGAGUAACAUCCUACAGCUGGUGCACUGUGGCAGCUGCCUGGAGUUACCAUCUGAGCCUUGCACAAAAUUGUAAUUCUACAGCAUGCUAAAAGGUCACACUGAUUAGCUUUAAUGGGAGCUGCUUGUGUGUAGAUGUCUUAUUCCAAAUAAAGCAGGUAGGGAAACCAGUAUCCAAUUUAUUAUUCUAUGAUUAAUUAAUGAAGCAGUGUUAACUGCAAAUGGUGUUUGUACUAAGAAUCAGCUACUGGGUGAGGUAUUGGGGCUGCUACAUUUGCUUUUCCAGUAGUAUUGGAUACUUUCAGUGAGCAUCUACAUGCAAACCUCUGUUCUUUGCUUGUAGAAAAAUAGGAGCUGAUGGAGCUGUGACUGCUCACACCAGACUUUCCAUAACCAUGCUCCAUUAGAGUUGCAAGGAUUGUGAUUUACAUUGGGAUAGAGAUAAGAGAUCCCAUCCACCUCGUGCACUUAUGGACUAGCUGAUUGGCUCCAGCAGCGUGAUCAGGGCUGCUACACUUAGCUACAUGGCUUCGUCCACCAGCACAGAAAACCAAAUGCUUUCCAAGCAAUUGAAGAGGCCCACGCACUGAGCAAGAAGCUGUGAAAGACACCAAGCAAGAAGAGAUGGAUGAACUCCUGCUCCUUUCUAGAAGUCAGAAACCAGGGCCUUGACCCUACCUCAGGCUCUGUAUACUUGGGACCUUGAGUGUAGGGGCUUUGAAAAAGCUGGUCUCUGGUAUUCAGCCUGUGCUGCUGUCUGCUCUUUCAAGCCUUCAUUGGGGAAGUGCAGGCUUGGGAGAUGCGUGUCGUUUCACCUUCCUAGAAUUGAAACCUACAUCUCCUAAAGCAUGUCCACAAACAAAAGACGAGACCCUCUAUAAAACUGAAGGUGUUCUCCACUCAUCCUGAUGAAGAAUUCAAGGGUGACACUCUACAGAAAAGGGACUGCAAGAUGAGAAGGCCAGAAAAGUAAUGAGCAGAUGGUGGCUUCAUUCCGUAAUCUGAUAAUAAGAGCAUCAACGUGGGAAAAGAAAAAGGGAAACCUCACUGCACUGCAGCUAUUCAGUAUUAACCUGUCCUUUCCCUUUCUUGUUCAAUGAAUUCCAUCCUUCCGGUCCCUGCUCUGCUUUUCACAUUUAAGCAGAGAAAUUGAAUAGUACAAUUCAUGGGAGGACACAGUCUCCCCGUGUCAUUCAGCUGCUUUCAAAACAUAAGCUCAUUUCUCAGGGGUAAUUAUUUGACUCCCAGUGGCUGCACCUCAAAGCAGACUGUUUGUUUCCUGGUCUCAUCCUCACACUCCCUCUGACAGGGAUGCUCAGGUCUCGUUAUUUGCUCUCUCUCAGCACAUUCAGAGGGACAGCCUGAGUGAUGGUACAUGUGCCACCAGCCACAGGAAGCCCUUCUUGCGAGAUGGUGCUGUCACGUUGAUGCCAUAUGCCUUUUUAUUUGAUGGCACCUGUUUACACAGCAUGAGUCAGGAAAAAAGAUUCCUUUCCCAGCAGAAUGGGAAAUCAGAGAGAGCUCACGGGUACUAGUCCCUGCCAGCAGGUGAUGUAGUUGCAGUGAGUUCAUGGUAUAUCUAGUGAAAGCAUUUAAUAAUAUUGUCGGAGUCUGUAUAACCACCCAAAUAACAUUGUGUUCUCGCUAUACUGUGUAGGCACCACAGUUGUGAAUCAAUUUAAAAGCCAAAGAAUCAAAUUAUUUGAUUAAUAGCUAGCUGUAAGCAGAAACACACACAUGUAC